rnacentral:rRNA from 1 species
UACAGAGGGUGCGAGCGUUGUCCGGAAUCACUGGGCGUAAAGGGCGCGUAGGUGGUGGCUUAAGCGUGCGGUGAAAGCUCGGGGCUCAACCCUCGAGUCGGCCGUGCGAACUGGGCUCACUGGAGCAUAGUAGAGGCAGGUGGAAUUCCGGGUGUAGCGGUGGAAUGCGUAGAGAUCCGGAAGAACACCGGUGGCGAAGGCGGCCUGCUGGGCUAUGGCUGACACUGAGGCGCGACAGCGUGGGGAGCAAACAGG